GGGUGCCUACGGGGGGCAGCAGUAGGGAAUCUUCGGCAAUGGGGGCAACCCUGACCGAGCAACGCCGCGUGAGUGAAGAAGGUUUUCGGAUCGUAAAGCUCUGUUGUAAGAGAAGAACGUGUGUGAGAGUGGAAAGUUCACACAGUGACGGUAACUUACCAGAAAGGGACGGCUAACUACGUGCCGGCAGCCGCGGUAAUACGUAGGUCCCGAGCGUUAUCCGGAUUUAUUGGGCGUAAAGCGAGCGCAGGCGGGUGGAUAAGACUGAAGUUAAAGGCUGUGGGUUAAAC
rnacentral:rRNA from 1 species